GUAGACCCCGGAGCAUGUCGUCAUCACUGUACUCUGGCACUGAUGGUCUUGACACCCUUGAGAGGGAAUGAGGAUCAGACAUGUCGUGUUCAUGGAGCUGGUCCUGCCCCACGGAUGAAGCACCCAGGGAAGCUGGGGAAGCCAGUAAUCUGAGUGUGUUUGUGACACACUGGAAACAUUAUCCAGGCCAAACAAAUCACUUCAGCAGCAUGACAGAGAUGAAACCUCAUCUUGGUUGAGGACACCAAGGCCCAGAGCAGGGCAGGAAGGGCCUUUGGCAGUCACCAAUCCUGUCCCACUAAGAGACCUUCCUGGAGACACCAAGAAGCACUGCUGAGCUUAGUACUCACCAAACCAGAGAGCUGGAGAGUGACAGGGGCUGGACCUGGGCCAGCUCUCCAGCCUCCCAGCUCUGGAGCUCACGACACUGACACAUGGCCUUCCCAACCCACCUGUCUGGGUCCUCACCACAAACACUAGCCACAGCCAUCACAGCGGAACUCAGAUAAACCCUUUUAUU